UUAUUAUUUUUAGCUGGUUUUAGUGAUUGAUCAGCCACAUAAGGGUAUGGAAACAACCCUAUCUAUUCGACAGCAGUGAGGAAUUUUGGACAAUGUAUAAUUAUAUGAUCCAGCGAAUUAAUGGAAAUGAAGAAAAUUUAAAAAUCGUAAAGUUUGUUCGUAAACCUAAAUAAUGUUAAGGUUUAAAGAGAAGUCAUGGCCAAUACAUGUGCCAGCAGCCGCGGUAAUACAUGAGUGACUAGCGUUAUCCGUAAUUGUUGAGUGUAUAAUAUAUAUAGAUUAUAACAAUAAACUUUAAUUAAUUUAAUUAUGUUUAAAAAAAAUUAAAGAAAGUAUAUAAUUGUUUAUAAAAAAUUAUUUAAAAAUUUUUGUAAUCUAUAAUUUAGCGAUUAAAUGCAUAGAAUUUAUAGAUAUUUCCAAUAAUGAAAAUUUUAAAUUUUAAAUAAUUUUUAUUGAUAUAUUAAAGUAUGGGGAGUAAAUAGGAUUUGGGACCCUAGUAAUCCAUACUGUAAAAAAUGAAUAUUUUAAUUAAUUAUUAAUUAUAAGUUAACGCAAAAAUAUUCUACUUGGAGAGUAUAAUCGCAAGAUUGGAACUUAACGGAAUUGGCGGGAAUUUGUUCAAACGGUGGAACAUGUGGUUUAAUGCGAUAAUCCACGUAAAACCUUACCAAUAUUUAAAGCUUAGAUAUAUUUAAGUAGUAAUAUAUUAUUAGUUAGUCUAAGCUUCGGUACUGCAUGGCUGUCGUCAGUUCGUGUUGUGAAAUGUUAAAUUAAGUUUUAUUUACGAACGCAACCUGUUUUAUAUUAAAGUAAUUUUUGUUAAAAUAAGCUAAUUUUUAGUUUAUUUUUUGUAAAAGUAUAUUAUUAAUAUAUUUAAAAUAACCUUCAAUUGAAGGCUUAUUAGGUAUAAGCUGAAGUCAAGUCCUUAUGGUCUUUAUAUAUUGGGCUACACAUGUGUUACAAUGGUAAAAACAAAAAGUAACAAAUACGUAAGUAAGAGUUAACCUUAAAAAAUUACCUAAGUACAGAUUAUUUUAUGUAACUCUAAAAUAUGAAGUUGAAAUCGUUAGUAAUUAUAAGUUAGUAUAUUAUAGUGAAAUAAAAGUCAAAUUUUGCACACACUGCCCAUCACGCUCGAAAAAUUUUAUAAAAUGGAAAAUAAAAAAAAUUAGAAAUAAAUUUAAUUUAUGGUUUAGAUUGGUUUAUUGUAUUUUUGUAAGGUAAUUUGAGUGAAGUUGACACAAGGUACUAGUAGGGGAACCUGUUAGUGGAAUACAUUU
rnacentral:rRNA from 1 species